UAAUCGACCUCCAUUCUCUCCUCUCCUCCCCUCCCCUCCCCUCCCCUGCGCAAACCCUAACUCCGCCGACGCUUGGCAUUGCCGGCGCACCCCACCCUCGCCGCUGCACCCAAACCCUAGCCAGCUCGCAGCUCCGCCUCAAUCCCGACGCCCCCAAUCGCUCCUCCCACUACCCGGCCUGCUCGCCUACGCCCGGAUCUUGCCGGACCAUUCGCCGACCGUGGCCGACGCUCCAGGGCACGAGUCCACGGCCCCCAACGGGGAACGCACAUCACGCUGCCACCACCAGAUGCCACUUUCACCGCCCUCAACUUCCCAGCAGGCAUUUCGCGUCUUGAUGUAUCCAAAUACAUCCAAAUACCGCUGCUGCUUCACACCCUGCUUGGGAGGGCCAGGCAGGUUCGAUGGAGUUACACACAAGGCUGCAAUCCAGGACGAGGUUACUUUCUUCAGUACGCGGAUCAACAUACAACCUUCUGCCUUCUGUCAUGCCAAUCUCACUUGAUUCGGAUCAACUACGAGCUCUCCAUCAACAGCAGCCCAACCUCGUCGACUCCUGCCAGUCGUCUGCACUACCAGACCCAUCCUUUCCAGCAAAGUGAUGAAGAGUGACAAGUACAUACUCGGCUAUAAGACGCCAGGGAUAACUCUGAUAGAUGAGAUGUAUGAAUAGUGACUCUGGUGGAUCCUUGAGGAGGUUUAGUACUACUCGUUUGUUAUGGUGCAAUAAAAUCAGCAGCUACUCUGCUCCUGAUAUGAUAUGGUCUGGUGGAGGUGGAAUGAACUCUGGGAUGACAAAUGGGAAAUAAUGAAGAGAAGGAAACAUCAAGAAAUGUUUUAAAAAAAUCAUCCCUGGCUAAUAUCGUCCACAGGGGACGCAACUGUCCUGGAUGGAUGGCCAGGACUGCCUCGAGUAUGAGGUGUCCAUCAAGAAUAUCUUGCUGCCAUAUGGAGGGUGCCUUGUUGCUGCAAAAUGGGCGGGUUCGGGAUGACUUCCUGCACUAGGACGCCGCCGGGGACAAGAACGACUAGAUUUUCUUGCUGCCACUUUUCCUGAAUAUGCACGGUGCUUUGGUGCUGAAAUAUGGGUGGCCGGGCUGCUGCUGCUGACCGCCGCCACAUGCCGGUUCAGGAUUGCGUGCAGUGGUGCUGGUAGAGCCCACUGCUGGCGGCAGCGGUGAUGGCGCCAUGCAUGAAGGUCCAGGAGGGUCCUUAAUUUGGAGGGUGCCUUAGAGCUCAUAAAUCGGUUCAGGAUGUCUUCCUCCACUCAGACACUGUUGGGGACAAGAAUCUCUGCGAGGUUCCUCCUGCUUCCUUCUCCAAAAAAGAAUCAUGGACAAUGACAUGGCAGGGUAUGCUAGCUGGACCUGUAGCUGCUUGAUGCAUCAUAUUGAGCCACCUGUAGCUCCCUGAAUGCGAUGAUAUGGUUGCAAUCCAAGAACCGCCAAAGUUUUCAACUUUAUUUUUUCUUAUGUAUAUAACCCUCCUAGGAUGUGAUCGGAAACAUGUGCUGCUGUGUAUCAGCUUUUGCCCUAUGUUUGUUGGUCGGUGGUUUGGAAAUUCUGGUUGAUUGUCACGUUAGUUGUGACUAUUGUUGUAAUAUAAAUAUAUUGUUUGCUUUGCAGUUUUGAAUGUCCCCAAAACAGGCAAAGCCAUGCCAAAACUUUGAACACUCUUGUGAAUUAGCCUUUAUAUGAUUA